UUUUUAGAGUGACGGCGUACCUUUUGUAUAAUGGGUCAGUGACUUAAUUUAUAAAGCAAGCUUAAGCCAUCUAGGUGUAGGCGUAGCGAAAGCAAGUCUUAAUAGGGCGAUUAGUUUUAUGAAUUAGACCCGAAAACGAAUGAGCUUACCAUGAGCAGGUUGAAAGUUGGGUAACACCAACCGGAGGACCGAACCAGUUGACGUUGAAAAGUCUUUGGAUGACUUGUGGUAAGGGGUGAAAGGCCAACCAAAUUCGUAGAUAGCUGGUUUUCCGCGAAAACUAUUUAGGUAGUGCGUUGAAUAAAUAGAUGUUUAGAGGUAGAGCACUAAAUGGGCUAGGGGGAAGAGAUUCUUACCAAACCUAAUAAAACUCCGAAUGCUAGACAUUGUUCUUCAACAGACAGACUGUGGGUGCUAAGGUCCAUGGUCGAGAGGGAAAGAGCCCAGACCACCAGAUAAGGUCCCCAAAUUAUGAUUAAGUGUGAAAGGAUGUGGAAAUUCCUUAACAGCCGGGAGGUUGGCUUAGAAGCAGCCAUCCUUUAAAGAUAGCGUAACAGCUCACCGGUCUAAUAGAGUUUCUGCGCCGAAGAUGUAACGGGGCUAAAAUCAUAUACCGAAUCUGUGGGUUUAUAAAACUUUCGAGUUUUAUAAGCGGUAGCGGAACGUUCUGUAAGCCUGUGAAGGGAUACCCGUGAGGGAUCCUGGAGGUAUCAGAAGUGCGAAUGCUGACAUAAGUAACGAUAAAAGAAGUGAAAAACUUCUUCGCCGAAAAUCCAAGGGUUUCUGCGCAAGGUUAAUCCGCGCAGAGUUAGUCGGCACCUAAGGCGAGGGCGAAAGCCGUAGUCGAUGGAAAUAAGGUUAAUAUUCCUUAACCAGAUGGUAGUGACGGAUCUUGUAAGUUGUGUGUUCUUAAUGGAUUGAGCAUGCCGCGAAAAGGUUCCAAGAAAUAGCUCCAUCAUUAGACCGUACCCUAAACCGACACAGGUGGAUUAAUAGAGUAUAUUUAGGCGCUUGAGAGAAUGAUGUUGAAGGAACUCGGCAAAAUGCUUCCGUAACUUCGGGAUAAGGAAGACCUGUUUUUAGGCAACUAGAGAUGGGUGGCACAAGCCAGGGAGAAGCGACUGUUUAUCAAAAACACAGGGCUCUGCUAACACGUAAGUGGAUGUAUAGGGUCUGACGCCUGCCCGGUGCUGGAAGGUUAAUGCGGUUGGUGCAAGCUAACUUCUGAAGCCCCAGUAAACGGCGGCCGUAACUAUAACGGUCCUAAGGUAGCGAAAUUCCUUGUCGGGUAAGUUCCGACCUGCAUGAAUGGCGUAACGAUUUCUCCGCUGUCUCCAACAUCAACUCAGUGAAAUUGAAUUCUCCGUGAAGAUGCGGAGUUCGCGUAGUUAGACGGAAAGACCCCGUGCACCUUUACUGCAACUUUACAUUGGUAUUAGGAAAAACAUAUUUAGUAUAGGAGGGAGACAUUGAAGCAAAGGCGUCAGCUUUUGUGGAGUCACCAGUGAAAUACCUCUUUUGUUUUUCUUGGUAUCUAACUGAUUGCCGUCAUCCGGCAUCAAGACAUUGUAUGGUGGGUAGUUUGACUGGGGCGGUCGCCUCCCAAAUAGUAACGGAGGCGUGCGAAGGUAGGCUCAGAACGGUCAGAAAUCGUUCGUAGAGUGCAAUGGCAUAAGCCUGCCUGACUGUGAGACUGACAAGUCGAGCAGAGACGAAAGUCGGUCAUAGUGAUCCGGUGGUUCUGAGUGGAAGGGCCAUCGCUCAACGGAUAAAAGGUACGCCGGGGAUAACAGGCUGAUACUGCCCAAGAGCUCAUAU
rnacentral:rRNA from 1 species